rnacentral:lncRNA from 1 species
ACGAAAGAAGGAAGUUGGUUACGAAAACGUGACCGAACCUCAAAUCUGUGAUAAAAUUUACCGGUUUAAAGUAACGAAGACUUUAAUAACUUUUAAUAAGACCACGAGGAAACUGAUGCCGAUAUUUUAAAGGUCUAAAUUUGGUCAAAACUUGAUUAAAGAGUAUUUUACUGUUUUGUUUACACUCUGUGGAAUCAGUAAUGCCAAAGGAAACAAAGUUGAUCAUAUAUUGACUCUUGAUCCACUUCUUUAAACCCGAAUCGGAACAAUAACAGCGGACUGCAGAUAUUAACUGAUCCAGUGGAACAUUAGCGUUCAGGUUCCGUCAGGUUCGGGACCAGGUUUCAGGAAGAGGGUCUGUCUUCACGUGUCUUAGUGGAUAUAAAUGGACCUCCUGUGGGCACAUCGGAAGCAGAACCAUCUGUGUGAUCCAGGAUUAAAACGGGACAUGGACCCUUGGAUACCAGGACUGAGGUCAGUAAAAAUGUUCGGAUUUAACCUCCAUGUUUGACUCACCUGUGAUACACCUACUGUGAUCAUGUUGGGCUCGUGCUCGGAGGUGUGUACAGGUGUGAGUGACAUGACCCAAUCGGCUGAGAUGAGAGUUGAAACUUUCACUGUUGUAUCGUUUUUUAUUCUCCGUGUUUGUAAGAAGUCGUGACUCAAAGGUGAGAGUAAAAAUCACCUUCAACAGGUCGUUGUUGUUUCUUUAAAGUCUCACCUGAUUCCUGACAGGAAAACAUGAAAAUAUUUAGACUUUACUGUGAAUACAUAUAAUGAGUUUAAUGUUUAUUUAACUUCUAAGUUUACACGAGGACCGUUGCUAUGGAAACGCCACUUUCAUAAACUCUGAGGGACUGUUGCUUCUUUCUGACUGAGUUUCAGUUCAUUUUUAAUACAACACUGCCACCUGCUGGUCACUGAUGGAGGUUUGGAAACCCACAGACUAGUCUGAAAUCCUGUGAAACACAUUAUUAAAUCACCAGAGACAGUUUUUAUUCUGAUAGAUGAUUUCUGUGUAUGAACAUAUAUUUUUAGUUUUAUAUUGUCUCAUUCAUAAAUAUCUUUACAGAUUAUUCGUAAUUGUUUUUUGCUGCAGUUUUCUCCUCAGUCUUUAGAAAUAUUCUCAAUGACAAGUUUUUAAUCACACCUCAUCUUUCCCAGAACUUUAAUUUUAUAUGUUUUAUUUUAAAUCUGAUUUUUAAUCCACAAAGUUUCUUCUUGUGUCACUUUAUAAAUGAAAUACUGAAUCUGUUGGACUCUGAUGAGACAGGCACCAAUAUCCAUACUUCAGUAAGUAAGUAAACUUGAUUUUUAUAGCACUUUUCACAGACAAAGUGCUUCACAUAGACAAGAAUAAAAAUGUACAUACAAAUUAAAAGGCAGAGACAACAACAUUAAACAGUCAUAGCAGCUCCAAAAACAAUUAAACAAAGGCCUGAGCAAAUAAAUCAGUUUUGAGUUGGCUUUUAAAGGAGUCAACUUCAUUCAUUAUAUUGUAGGGACAUCAAUAAUUAUAAUAUUACUAAAAAUAAAAAAAAUAUGUGUAAUAAUAAUGAUAAAAAUAAUAAAGAGUGUAAGUGUCUUAAAAAUUAAAAGUAAAUCACUGCAAAUUAAAAAUAUAGAUGCAGAAAUAUACAACAAUGAAACCUGCUUAUUUAUUUUCAGUUAUUUGAUAUUUUUUUUCCUCUUCAUAAAUGUAUUUAUUGACUCUUCAAUAAAUACUCAGUAAUAAAUUAACUGUAUUAGAAAUGUUCUCAUAACAUCUUUUUUCUUUACAAUAUUUUUUGCGUACUUUAAUCUUUUUUUUUCCUUUUUCAGACAAAUUAUGUGAGACAACAGACAAUUAAAUUUCCCUUUGGGGAUUAAUAAAGUUAUUCUUAUUCUUAUUCUUAUUUAGUAAAAUAUUUAAUAUGCAACAAAAAACAAAUGCUCUUUAAAAUUAAAAAUAAACGCAAGAAAUAAGAAAAUGAGCACGCACUAAAUUAUAAAUGAUAGAUUAUUAUUACAGCUGAGACAUUUUAAUGUUAGCUCUGUGGCUGCAGUUCGUCUUUCAGCCACCAGGUGUCGUCUGUGAGUCAGUUCCUCUUCCACUCUCCUGCGAAAAACUUCUCGACAUAUAAAAAUGUUCACAGUCGGACUUUCAGCUGCUACAGUUCUCUAAACUAAGACCAGAACUUCUCAGUGAAGUCUCUGUGUUUUAUUUAUUUGAGUUUUCUGUCUGAAUGUUGAACUCUGAUGUAGUUUUAAGAGUUUCAGAGGAUCACUGAUAUUCAGGAGUGUGUGAGGCGUUCACCCCUCAGGGUGGAUCAGCAGCACAUUUCAGACUAACAGAACAGGCUUUGAAUUACAUAUUGAUUAAUUUAUUAUUAUUAAUAAUUAUUGAUAAUUGAAACAUUGAAUUUAUUGAAUAACCGUGAAAAAUAUCUGUUAUUCUGUUAUCUUUAAAGUGAGUGAAGCAGUUACAUGAGUAAAAGUAUGAUUCAAAUGUAUAACUGUAUUUUUCUUCAGUCACAUUAUUUAACAUUUAUGUCACAUUUAAAACCCACUAUAUUAAAGUCCAUGUAACCUAAAUUUAUAUUAUUAUUAAACAGUCACGUCUCAGACUCAUUAGAAUUUAUUUUGGACUUACUUUUGUUAGACUUUUUAAAAGUCACCCUGUAGAAAUUUUCUGAUUUAUUAUUUUUUUUCUGCUUUCUUCAUUAGUACACGUCCAAUUUUCAUUUUUUUAUUUUGGCUAAUCAGUGCGACAAACUCAGCUGCAUAUGUGUGAUAUUUGAGUUUUGUUAUUACACUUGAACUUUGACAGUUUUUAAUCAACAAAAAUGUGCAUUAAAUGUCAUUUAUUUUCCAGAAACAGAGGUGGAACCACAAAAUCUAAUACAAGUUUGCAGCGUGCUCACAAGAAUUAAAGUAGGAAUCUGAAGAGUAGGAAAAUAAAACAACUCAUGAAUCCAAAACAAUUUGAUUUUUUGAAUUUAAGAAAAUUAAAAAUUAAUUCACAAAAUUUCUAGAGACAGAAAAUCAGGCUCUGAGUGAAAAUAUGAGCUUAUUGUUGUUUUUUUUUUCAAAGAUAAAAUAUGUUUUUCAAGGAUUAACUGAAGAUCAUUGUAGUUGUAUUUUUCACCAGCAGAGGGCGCAGCGGUGCAGAGUCCAUCUGAAGUUAAAGAACAUGGGGUAGAGUACAGUAAACUGAUUUAUAACUCAUGUUUUACGUUUUUUCAGAUCUAUUAUUCAUUAUUUUAUAAAGGCAUAAUUAUUUUAAUAUUUAAUCUGAGUGUUUAAAAAUGAACUUUGUUUAACUCUGUCGUAAAUUUCUUCAUGUCUUUUUCUAUUUCUUCAGUGUUUAAAAUACAGGUUAACUUUUGGCAGUUCACUUCAAUUGAUGAACAUAAAGGGGGCUAAAAUUGGGUCUUAUAAUCUGUAUAAUAAUAUUUUGAUAUGCUAUAAACUAGACUCCUUACUUUUCUGUAGUUAUUAAGAUAAUUUUCCUGUCUUUUCUUUGCUUUUGUUCUCUUUUAUUUCUUUGCUUCUGUUUUUUUAUUUCUGAAAAUUUGACAGUUUUAAGAUUUAUUUUUUUAUUUUGUUUUAUGCUUAAAAACAAAAUUUAAAAUAACGUCAAAAAAACAAACAAAUAACAAAAAAUAACUUUGAGUGAGUUUUUAACAAUCCAACUCAAAUAAAUAGAUAAAGUUAAAGUCUGACAAACCAUGAAACACACACUAGCGCGCACACACACACACACACACACACACACACACACACACACACACACACACACACACACACACAGAGUAAGCUGUAAUCCGUCUCACAGAGGUGAACAUUUAGGAUCUGUGACGGUGUGAUCAAUAAUUAUGAUCAGUCUGAGUGACACGACCUUGCAUGUGCAUCAUUACACACACCUCUUAAUGUGUGUGUGUAACAGAGGUGCUGUUAAUAUUGACUUGUGUAAUUGUGUGUAUUAUUCUCAGUGAGUCUCUAUAAUCACCUAAACUGAGGAAUUAUGGGACUUUUGACUUAAACCCUCAUUCCUGGGAGAUUUUCUCUGGUUAUAUAAACGAGUUCGGUCACUUAGACUUUACUUUAUCUCCACCGAUGAGAUUUAAACAAUAAUUAGUUUCAGAUGGAAUUAAAAAUGAGUCAGUUAUCUUUGAGGCGUCACAGACUUUCCUUUUUUAAGGAUCUGUAAUAAAAACUCAACAUUUUAAAACUUAAAGCCAGCGCAGCAGAGGCGAAUCCAAGAGGUGGUCAUGGCCCUUAAAGUCUAAUCGGCCCCCCUGAUGGAAACUCCAAAACCCUAAACUACAGUAUCUGUCUGGCCAUGUCAGAGGUCAGACUCAUGUUUAAGGGAUAGCAGCCGCUUGUUUGUAGCAAGACCUCAGGCCAGUCCGUUACAGACUACAGUGGGGUGACACAGCUCAAGGAAGAACAUUUAUGAUCAUUUCCUGGAAGUAAUAAUCAACAUAUCAAUCAAUUUUCACUGCAGACGCGGUAGUUCUUCUGCCUUAGCGUCUCGGUCUGAUUGUAUUUCCAUGAAGAAAUUAUCAGAAAUGUUCCUCCUUGAGCUGCAGCACCCCGCUGUAGUCCGUAAAGGACUGGCCUGAAGUCUCGCUACAAACAUCGGCUGCUGGAAGAGAGUAGGUGAGUUGUGUUUAGUCUCUUUGCUAAAGAAAUGAGUCAAAGUUAAAAAUUUGUUUGGUGUCUAGUACUAUGGCUGUGACCCUAUAUGUACUAACCUCAGUAGAUCAUGGUGUAGUUCCGUUCAGUAAGAGAACCUCAUUGGAAAAUUAGCUGAUUUAACUUUACUGUGCUCUUGUUCAAAUAUACUAACUGGACAGCACAUAUAUCUAUACCUGUUAACAAAAUCCAGAUUUUAUUGAUAAAUCGGCUCAAUAAAAACACCUUUACCUUUUCAUUUUACUACAGCAACAUUCAUCUCUGGAGUGGGUGUCUAACUCAGGUGUGUUUGACCCUAACUUAAUUUUACGCCGGAAUAUCCCUUUAACAGCACUGAUGGCCUUAGUCUCUCUGUCCGACGACCUUGGUUGAAAAUUAAAGACAAAACAAAGAUCCAAUAACUGCAGUUCCUUGAGUGUCCACUAGAGGCUGACUCCUAAAAUGAGUGACCUCCCAUAGAGCUCCAUGUUAAAAUGUUUACAGCCUGGUAUAAAAGUUAUUCUGGUUACUUCUGCUCAUGACAGCUGUUAAUAAAGUAUGAUGUAACAUAAUCAGGGGUGUGGCCUCUUAGAGUGACAGGUGGGAGCUGCUACAUGUCAUCUCAGCUGAUUGAGUCAGUCUGUGGGUGUGUCAGUGGAGUUUUUUCCACAUAAAUAUAUCUAACAGUCCAGUUUCAGCUCUCUGUGAAAUCCUCGCUUCAUUUCUUAUUUUUAUGUCGUUGCUAAUUAGCAGCUUUCUGUGUCUGAGCUCACUGCCGCUGACCUGAGUCUGAUUUAUCUCAAAGUCUGUUUUUCACCAGGUCAGGCUGAAAGGUAGAAACAUGAAACGGUUUAAAGGGUGAGGAUGAAGAGAGGGACGGUACAGUGUGGGGGGAGGAAGGUUUUAAGAGGGUGAUGGAGGGAUGAGACGCAGAGAGAGAGAGAGAGAUUUUCAUCUGUAGCAGAGAGGGCUCCUCAUUUUUCCUCCCGACCUUACAGUGACCUGACAUGGAUGGAGAGAAAAGGAGAGAGAGAGAGAGAGAGAGAGAGAGAGAGAGAUCAGGGUAGUUAUUGUUUGUCAUUUUUCCUCCCCAAUUUCCAGCCUAAUGAAGACACUCAUUGGCUGAAGAGGAAUCAGAGGGAGAAGGUGUGUGUGUGUGUGUGUGUGUUCGUCCUACACAGGUUACCAUGACAACACAUGUGAUGUCAUGUGUUAGCCUUGGGUAGAAGGUGACUGUGUUUGUGUGUACGUUCAUACUGCUGCACGUGUGUGAGCCAAAGUUUCUGAUUCGACCUUUUUAUCCGAUUUAUCUUCGACUGAAAUCUCCCAGAUUAAAAUAUAAUCCUGCUGAUUACAUAAGAUUCAACACUAUAAGACACAAUAGCAGCAUAAUGACAGUGUGAGAGUAAAGAAUAGGAAAUAACCAUGAAGUCGUGUUUACUAAGUUUAGAUAACAAGACAAAACACUGCGAUACAAAACGACAGGAGUGUAAUUAGAAAAGAUCAAACAGAAUAUAAGACAGUCAUGUGACACACGACUGUUCAACACAACAACAUGAUAGGGAAUAUGGUGUAAUUAUUACUGUAUGAUAUGAUACUUUACAGUGUGAUAUAAUUGGUUAAAUAUGAUAUGAUUGAAUCCAAUAUGAUACUAUAAGAUACAAGACGAGACAGUAUGAUAUUUGAUGUGAUUGGAUACAAAGCUACAUGAUAUCAACAAUAGGAUACAAGACUAAACUAUGCAUUAAGAUAUGAUGUGAAAUGAUACGACACAGUAUUGUUCAGUGAUAUAAUAGCUUGAUGAAGUUCAACAUAAUAUCAGUUAAUAGAUGAACAUGUAAUUUUACUCACUAAGACCUGACUCUGACUCUUCAUGAUGAUAUCAGCUGUUUGCCUCAUUGACUUCCAUUAAUCUCCAUGUUAUUGAUUUAGGUACAGUUAAAUAUUACAUGAUAGACUAUCGUACAGUCUGAUGGAUUUAGUAUCACCGAACUCUGAGUUGCUUAAUCUGAUCUAAUCUGAAAAACACCUUUCAGUCCAGUAUGUAGAGCGCUCAGUGAGGUCUGUUAAAGCAGCAUGGGUGACGCUUUAUGGAUCAGUUUUUAUAUUUAGUUUUUAGUUUUUGUUUUUUAUCUAUACUUUUGUAAUUUUUGUUUAAAAAUUUUUUUUUGGUUUAUUAUCUUCAGUUUUUAAUUUUAUUUAUUUAUUUUUUAUCUUUUAAUUGUUUAAUUUUUAUGGUUUAUCUUUAAAUUUAAAUUUUUUUAUUUUUUAUCUUGAAUUUGAUUUUUUAUCUUUAGUUUUUUUAUAUUUACUUUUUUUUUAGGUUUUAUCUACAUUUUUUUUAUUUUUGUUUUUGAUUUAUCAUUAGUUUUUUUUAUUUACUGUUUUUAUUUUUAAUUUUUUUUAUCUUUAGUGUUUUAUCUUUAGUUUUUAUUUUUUGUGUUUUUAUUCCAAAUUUACUACAUUAAUUUUGUUUAUCUUUAUCUUUUUUUAUAUUUAUUUUUUUUAUUUUUAGUUUGUUACCUUUAGUUCUAUAAUCUCAGUCUCUCUUAUGUCGUCAUAUUUCUGUCAGGUAUUGUUUAAUUAAAUUUAGGGUUGUCUACACUUUUUCUAUCAUUCCUCUUCCUCCCUCUUGUUAAUUUGUUAAUCCUUUCCUCUCUUUUUUUUCCAAAUCCUAACAGACUUGUUGUUUUUUUUUCUUUUUCUACCUUUUUCAUCUUUUUUUAUAUUUCCAUCGUCAUGUUUCUUCUCUGUGAGCUGGAGCGACCAGAAGGUGCUCAUUUGGUUUAUCUGCACACACACUAACACAUUUAAUGCAUGGCAGCAUGCUGCGCUGCAUGCCCCCAGGGUGUGUGUGUGUGUGUGUGUGUGUGUGUGUGUGUGUGAUGGAGAAUAGGAAGCGAGUCGUUGCCCUGCUGUUGAACCCUCUACGUUUCUGCCCUCCUCUUCCAUCUCUCUGUCGUUGCUGAUGUACGCCGCUCGUUGAACGGCGCCUGAAACCCUUCCUUCCUCUCAGAUCCAUUUCCAAACAUCAGAAUAAACUGGAGGAAUAAAGAGAAGUGCUUUUGUUGACUGUGUUUGGGUUCGUCUCUGCUGAUAAGACGUCUUCAUGUUCGUGUCUCAGCGAUAGAGAUCAGCGUGUCGAUAUGCAUCUGUUAAUGUUGACACGCUGCCAAUAAAGUUGGUUCAACGCCGACAUAACGCUCUUGUUUGUAUCUUAAACUAUGCAUCCAGACUUCUACGGUGGCCCUGAGGGGAGAAAAAACAACAACGCUUCAAAACUCAGUUGUGUACGUUUGGACUUAUCUGUGUCUGGAUGAGUUUGUCGGUAUCGACUCUGAACUCUGAACCAAUCAGGCGUCACGUACUUUACAACAAUUAAAGGGAAGUUCCGCUUUAAUCAGUCCCUCCAGGCGAAGACGGGUCAAAGUCGGUCUGUUGAUUAUUUAUACGUUUGUUUUGAGUUUUAAUAUAAAUCAGAUAUUUUUCAUUAUUCCUUAAAAAGCUUCAAAUCAAAAAGACACUAAACGUCUGUGAGCUGCGGCGAACAAUAACCUUAAACCAACGUGAGUUUCCUUUUGAUCCGCUCCAUACAACAGACGACGAGGCGACCUUUGACCCCACGCUGCAGAGGACUGAGUUUGACCCCAGACUGACCGCGCUGUGACCCCACAGGACAGGAAGUGAAGACGGCGUUCAUGUAGGUCUGAAUGUGUGUCUCUGUGAGGAGCAGGACGGAGAUCAGGGAGGACGGCGGCGGAGGUUAGGGCGUUAAGAUGGCCGACGGGGUCUAAGAUGGCUGCUGUGGAGGCGAAGGGGGCGCAGUGGGGACGUCUCAUAUCGUCUUUAUGUCGUUGCGUUUCUUUGCAUCUUCAGAGGGAGGGGUUAGGACGUAAAGACGGGAGGAAAGCGUGGGAAGCAGCUUCACAAACACACGUGAAUUUUCUGACUUUUACCUGCUGCGUCAGCUCGCCACGACGUCUGUCCGACUCUCCUCCUCCUCCUCCUCUUCCUCCUCUCAUUGUUUCUAACAGCAAAUAUCCACACUCUGAAAAAAGCAGCAGCUGCUCUCUCACUGACGCUCGGUCCUGAUUCUGUCGCUUCACAGUCAGGAUAUUAAAACCUCUGUGAGAAUUUUCAGACUAAAAUAAAUCAGCUCAUUAAUUUUUACUUUUAUUUGUCUUUAAACUAAAUUAAAACAUCCAGUUUUCAACUAAAGACGUGACAGUUUCUGUGUAAUCUGUGUCUUUAUUUUAUUUUAUUUCAUUGUAUUUAUUUAUUUAUCACAGAUUAAAAACAGAGCGAGGAGGAAAUGAAGCCGAUGGGAGUUUACAGAGGUCCACUCCCGUCAGGUCAGUGAAGGCGUAGGGUGACAAAGUAACUCAGACAUAGACGGGUUAUAAAUAUACAAUGAUUAGGGAAAGGUCAAACAGACACAAAUUUUCAUAAAUAAAACACAAACUAAUCAUCAAACAGCGUUAGAGACGAUCUAAGUAUUUAUAAAAAGGAAGGAAACAUGAUCAUAACAGAUAAUGACGUAUUUAAGACGUGAUCAGAUGAGAUUUUAAAGAUAUUUUUAAGGAUUUGAAGGAUGAUAUUGAUUUUAAAGAUGAAUCCAGAUUAUUCCACAGUUUCAGACCUCUAAAAGUGAAAUUAGACUGAUGACUAGAAGUUCGACAUGAAGGUAACUGAAGAUGGUCAUUUUGUCUUGUUUGUCGUUUUCUCCGUAAAUAAAAUCUAGGAUGAGUUCAUGGUUGUUUGUUUUUCUGCAGAGAAAGUCCGACAUGAUGCAAAGAUGUCUCUGAGUGAACACAGACGGUUUAAAACCAGCUCUGAUUCGAGGCGUGGGUCUGUCGGUCGUCUUUACGGUGAAACCCUCGAGUUUAAAUCUAGAUUACGUCCCUCUGAGCUCUAAUUUAAUCUGGAAUAAUCUCAUUUACCGAAAUCUGAUCCUAUUAUUUGAAAAAGUUGAUCAUAAGAUCAUCAAACAUGUUAAAUUUGUCUCCUCAGAUUGUGGAUUUAUCGUAUUAAAGAGCCGCGCCGUCCUCCUGACCCCGGACUGAACCUGCAGCCUGGGAGCCGACCUCAGGCUGAACCGGGCUGGGGUCAGAGGUCAGGGUUGAAGGCCGGGUCUGUGAGCCUGAUCAGAGGGUGCAGAGGUGAAGGCCGGGUCAGAGUCCUGAGGGGGAGAAGAUGAGUAUCCUGCUGGACAAACUGAGGUACUGCAGCUGAGAGGACGGAUCAGAGCGAAUAGAAGCUGCAGGGUCUGAGUUUCUAUAACAACAAUAAACAAACACAUGAUUGAUCAUUUAAUAUUGAUCAUAUUUACAUUAUUAACGUUUGUGUUCAGAGAAAAAAAUCAUCUUUGGUUCAGAACAAUAAUCUCACACUAAAGAUGAAAAAUGAUUUUAGUAAAACUGAAGAAUUAAAGAGUAAAAACAUG